rnacentral:rRNA from 1 species
GACGAACGCUGGCGGCGUGCUUAACACAUGCAAGUCGAACGGAAAGGCCCUGCUUUUGUGGGGUGCUCGAGUGGCGAACGGGUGAGUAACACGUGAGUAACCUGCCCUUGACUUUGGGAUAUCCUCAGGAAACUGGGGCUAAUACCGGAUAGGAGCUCCUGCUGCAUGGUGGGGGUUGGAAAGUUUCGGUGGUUGGGGAUGGACUCGCGGCUUAUCAGCUUGUUGGGGGGGUAGUGGCUGACCAAGGCCUUGACAGGUAGCCGGCCUGAGAGGGUGACCGGCCACAUUGGAACUGAGAUACGACCCAGACUCCUACGGGAGGCAGGAGUGCGGUAUGUUGCACAAUGGGAGGGAGCCUGAUGCAGCAACGCCGCGUCCGGGGUGACGGCCUUGGGGUUGUAUACCGCUUUCGCCUGUGACGAGGCGUGAGUGACGGUAAUGGGUAAAGAAGCACCGGCUAACUACGUG